AGUCGAGCGGUAGCACAGAGAGCUUGCUCUCGGGUGACGAGCGGCGGACGGGUGAGUAAUGUCUGGGAAACUGCCUGAUGGAGGGGGAUAACUACUGGAAACGGUAGCUAAUACCGCAUAACGUCGCAAGACCAAAGUGGGGGACCUUCGGGCCUCAUGCCAUCAGAUGUGCCCAGAUGGGAUUAGCUAGUAGGUGGGGUAAUGGCUCACCUAGGCGACGAUCCCUAGCUGGUCUGAGAGGAUGACCAGCCACACUGGAACUGAGACACGGUCCAGACUCCUACGGGAGGCAGCAGUGGGGAAUAUUGCACAAUGGGCGCAAGCCUGAUGCAGCCAUGCCGCGUGUAUGAAGAAGGCCUUCGGGUUGUAAAGUACUUUCAGCGAGGAGGAAGGCAUUAAGGUUAAUAACCUUGGUGAUUGACGUUACUCGCAGAAGAAGCACCGGCUAACUCCGUGCCAGCAGCCGCGGUAAUACGGAGGGUGCAAGCGUUAAUCGGAAUUACUGGGCGUAAAGCGCACGCAGGCGGUCUGUCAAGUCGGAUGUGAAAUCCCCGGGCUCAACCUGGGAACUGCAUUCGAAACUGGCAGGCUAGAGUCUUGUAGAGGGGGGUAGAAUUCCAGGUGUAGCGGUGAAAUGCGUAGAGAUCUGGAGGAAUACCGGUGGCGAAGGCGGCCCCCUGGACAAAGACUGACGCUCAGGUGCGAAAGCGUGGGGAGCAAACAGGAUUAGAUACCCUGGUAGUCCACGCCGUAAACGAUGUCGACUUGGAGGUUGUGCCCUUGAGGCGUGGCUUCCGGAGCUAACGCGUUAAGUCGACCGCCUGGGGAGUACGGCCGCAAGGUUAAAACUCAAAUGAAUUGACGGGGGCCCGCACAAGCGGUGGAGCAUGUGGUUUAAUUCGAUGCAACGCGAAGAACCUUACCUACUCUUGACAUCCAGAGAACUUUGCAGAGAUGGAUUGGUGCCUUCGGGAACUCUGAGACAGGUGCUGCAUGGCUGUCGUCAGCUCGUGUUGUGAAAUGUUGGGUUAAGUCCCGCAACGAGCGCAACCCUUAUCCUUUGUUGCCAGCGGUUAGGCCGGGAACUCAAAGGAGACUGCCAGUGAUAAACUGGAGGAAGGUGGGGAUGACGUCAAGUCAUCAUGGCCCUUACGAGUAGGGCUACACACGUGCUACAAUGGCAUAUACAAAGAGAAGCGACCUCGCGAGAGCAAGCGGACCUCAUAAAGUAUGUCGUAGUCCGGAUUGGAGUCUGCAACUCGACUCCAUGAAGUCGGAAUCGCUAGUAAUCGUAGAUCAGAAUGCUACGGUGAAUACGUUCCCGGGCCUUGUACACACCGCCCGUCACACCAUGGGAGUGGGUUGCAAAAGAAGUAGGUAGCUUAACCUUCGGGAGGGCG
rnacentral:rRNA from 1 species